AGAGUUUGAUCAUGGCUCAGAAUGAACGCUGGCGGCGUGGAUUAGGCAUGCAAGUCGAACGCGAACGAGAAUCUUCGGAAUCUCUAGUAGAGUGGCGAACUGGUGAGUAGCGCUUGGAGAACUUGCCCUCGAGUGGGGUACAUGCCCGAAAGGCGUAAAUCCCGCAUAACAUCUUCCGCUCGCAUGUGUGGAAGAUCAAAGGUGCCCUCUGUUUCAUGGUGCCGCUUGAGGAUGGCUCCGAGUCCUAUUAGCUUGUUGGUGAGGUAACGGCUCACCAAGGCGAUGAUGGGUAGCUGGCCUGAGAGGGUGGUCAGCCACACUGGGACUGAGAUACGGCCCAGACUCCUAAGGGAGGCAGCAGUCGAGAGGCAUCCGCAAUGGGCGAAAGCCCGACGGUGCGACGCCGCGUGGACGAUGAAGGCCUUCGGGUUGUAAAGUCCUGUCACAGGGGGGAGAACAACCCCCAUCUUAAUAGGAUGGGGGUCUGACGUUGCCCCUGGAGAAAGACCCGGCUAACUCCGUGCCAGCAGCCGCGGUAAUACGGAGGGGUCGAGCGUUAUUCGGAUUCACUGGGCGUAAAGGGAGCGUAGGCGGGAUCGUGGGUCGAUCGUGAAAUCCACCGGCUCAACCGGUGAACUGCGGUCGAAACUACGGUUCUUGAGUUCGGUAGAGGAAUGCGGAAUUCCUGGUGUAGCGGUGGAAUGCGUAGAUAUCAGGAAGAACACCGGUAGCGAAGGCGGCAUUCUGGGCCGUAACUGACGCUGAGGCUCGAAAGCCGGGGGAGCGAACAGGAUUAGAUACCCUGGUAGUCCCGGCCGUAAACGAUGGGUACUAGGUGUAGGGGGUACUGACCCCCUCUGUGCCGCAGUUAACGCAUUAAGUACCCCGCCUGGGGAGUACGCGCGCAAGCGUGAAACUCAAAGGAAUUGACGGGGCCCCGCACAAGCGGUGGAGCAUGUGGAUCAAUUCGACGCAACGCGAAGAACCUUACCGGGGUUUGACAUGUACCGGACCGUCAUGGAAACAUGGCUUCUCUUCGGAGCCGGUACACAGGUGCUGCAUGGCUGUCGUC
rnacentral:rRNA from 1 species